rnacentral:rRNA from 1 species
UACGUAGGGUGCAAGCGUUGUCCGGAAUUAUUGGGCGUAAAGAGCUUGUAGGCGGUUUGUCGCGUCUGCUGUGAAAUUUCGGGGCUCAACCCCGAACUUGCAGUGGGUACGGGCAGACUAGAGUGUGGUAGGGGAGACUGGAAUUCCUGGUGUAGCGGUGAAAUGCGCAGAUAUCAGGAGGAACACCGAUGGCGAAGGCAGGUCUCUGGGCCACUACUGGCGCUGAGAAGCGAAAGCAUGGGGAGCGAACAGG